CAGAUAUCAGUUCAUCACUGUCUGUCCACUAGUGACUACAGAUUAUAUCUGUGUCUCAUUCUCAAUAGCAAUUAGCAAUUAAAUUUAAGAGAUAGGAUCCUUAUCCAUCCAUGGCUUCCAAACAAACACAAGACCGGGAGGAGAUGACUCUAGACAAUCCUGAGACAAUUUAUACCAUUAUGCAAGCUGCCGACAAAAUCGACGAAGCGGCUUCUUCCUUAAUAAAAGCAGCGGCGGAUAUCCGUAAAGUAUUCGAGCAUCUCAUAGUUCCAAUCCCACCUAUUGCUGAAUUGGAACCACCGUCAUCUCCGCCUCAGCAGCCGAAUCUAGAUCUGGCCUUAGCUGAGAUGUCAUUGGGAACUAACAAUUGACGGCAUCGUGAACCAAAGAUUAAGGAGAGAGUAAAAAUGAGGAGGCCAUCAUCCCAUCAAUAAGGAAUGCAGCUCAUUGAGAAAAAAAUUAAUUUUUCGUUCAAAUGAUUUUUACUUGUUUUUCUCUUUAAGUCUGAGUUAAUUAAAAAAUACAAGAAUUACAAAUG